CAAACUCCUGGACAUAUUGUAAUGCUCAAUCAUGAACAGCCGGACGCUCCCAACGACUCCGGAUACGAUACGGAUUCGGACAGUUCCUUCAGCUCCUAUGAAACAGAAGAAGAAAUUGACGAUUGCGAUUGUACCGAGGAGCAACGCGGUGUCAAUGGAGAGUGUCGAAUCACC